CUCCACAUCUACUUGUACGAUGUUGAUGGGAUAAGG
rnacentral:sRNA from 1 species